GCCAGUGUGGUGUAGUGGUUUGAGUGAUAGACUACAACUCCAGAGACCAUGGUUCAAAUCCCCGCUCAACCA